rnacentral:rRNA from 1 species
GACGAACGCUGGCGGCGUGCUUAACACAUGCAAGUCGAACGGAAGGGCCCUGCUUUCAGGGUACUCGAGUGGCGAACGGGUGAGUAACACGUGGGUGGUCUGCCCUGCACUUCGGGUUAAGCCUGUGCAACUGGGUCUAAUACCGGCUAGGAGCCAUUUUUAGUGUGAUGGUUGGAAAGUUUUUUCCGUUUAGGAUGAGCUCGCGGCCUAUCAGCUUGUUGGUGGGGUAAUGUCCUACCAAGGCGGCUACGGGUAGCCGGCCUGAGAGGGUGAACGGCCACCCUGGGACUGAGAGACGGCCCAGACUCCUACGGGAGGCAGCAGUGGGGAAGACUGAACGAUGGGCGCAAGCCUGAUGCAGCGACGCCGCGUGGGGGAUGACGGCCUUCGGGUUGUAAACUCCUUUCGCUAGGGACGAAGCUUUUUGUGACGGUACCUAGAGAAGAAGCACCGGCUAACUACGUG